AUUGAACGCUGGCGGCAGGCCUAACACAUGCAAGUCGAACGAGUGGCGGACGGGUGAGUAAUGUCUGGGAAACUGCCCGAUGGAGGGGGAUAACUACUGGAAACGGUAGCUAAUACCGCAUACCAUCGGAUGUGCCCCGAUGGGAUUAGCUUGUAGGUGGGGUAACGGCUCCCCUAGGCGACGAUCCCUAGCUGGUCUGAGAGGAUGACCAGCGACACUGGAACGGAGACAGGGUCAAGACUCAUACGGGAGGCAGCAGUGGGGAAUAGUGCACAAGGGGCGCAAGCCUGAUGCAGCCAUGCCGCGUGUGUGAAGAAGGCCGUCGGGGUGUAAAGGACUUUCAGCGGGGAGGCGUUACCCGCAGAAGAAGCACCGGCUAACUCCGUGCCAGCAGCCGCGGUAAUGC
rnacentral:rRNA from 1 species